GGUAACCCCAUGCGCUUUGAGUUUUACAUGCAUAACCAUUGAACUUUUCAGGUUUCAAGUGCAACAGCAUCUUCUCAACAAUCAAGAUAGACAACAAUAUUUUGAAUUUAUAUGCACACUUCAUCAUAGUCAUCUUCAUCAUCUUCUUGGUCAAGUUAUUGCAGCAGAUCCCAAACACAAGCUCCAACACCAUAUAUCAAGAAAUAAUCGGGUGUUUUGCUGUCUUGGGUUUGUACUUGCACUCCUCACAUUUUAUUGGGUAAAUGAUGUUAUAUACGUAGAAAAAUUACGUGGAGUUGUUCAUAUUAGUUUCACAAACCUAAAAAAAAAAGUUUGGUUCACAAUAAAGUACGAAAACCACAAGCUCUUUACGCAAAGGGCGCAAUAUUAUAUAUAUAAAGUUAAACCAAACUGAAGUUGCCAAGGGAUCAACUUUGGAAUGGUGAGACAGCUGACUAACAAACAAUAAACCUUGCUUUAUUUAUCAUGUGGAUGUUGAUGUAUAAGCAAAACGGAUUGGAAUUAUGUGAUAAUUUGAUUAUACUAUUUGGGACAUGAUAUGAUAUUCCCAAAGAUUGAUGAAAACUUGAAGCCAACGUGAAUCACACUGCUCACAGCUGGAAAUAACGGGACAAAAUUAAAAAGAAUGGGGAAAAUGGUUUUGUUUAACAUCACAAGUAAAUUAUUCUUCUCAACAAGUUUUAUUUAAUUUAAUGGUUGAAUUUAUUGAUUUAAUAGUGAAAACAAACGUGUAAAGGUG
rnacentral:lncRNA from 1 species